AACUCUUUAAUCAAAAUCACAGUUUAUCAACGAAAAAAACCCUAAAAUAUUAAAAAACCUCUGUCCUCUCUUCAUCAUCUUCACCGUACUCUUACGGUUGUUUCAGCCUCUGCUUCACUGACGACUCUUCUUCUUCCUCCUUCGGAUUCCUCAAAAUCCAUUUCCCUUUUCCCCCCUCCAACCCAUCGAUGGAAUUCCAACGACUUUUUCAAAAUUGUCACCUGCGCUCCGCCGAAGCAUGGCAUUCACUCCACUGAAGCAAUUGAAACUAGUAUCGGACGUUGGACCCUAACUUCUACCAAGGCUAUGAUUUGAUGUCUUCAAGUUCAAUAGCACAACAGCAUGCAUCAAUAAGUUUUGUCCAAGCGCAAGAACUUGAAAAUAAUGAUGAUUCUGAUCAACAAGUUGUUGAAAAUGGGAAAAUUGAAUGAAGAUGCUUAUGAAGAAAUGGAGGACAAGACUGUGGGAUUGCGCUCAUGGAUUAAUUAGACCUUAUUUGUGUAGUUCUUUUGAUUAUGGUGGAUGAUCAGCUUGGUUAUUCUUGAGCUUGAUAGCUGGAAUUGGAUCUUUUUAUCUCUGAGAUUUUACAUGGUAGGAUUGUAGCUUAAUUCGAAUAACAUACAUUUUGAACUUUAAUAAGAACCAGAAUGCAGCCUUAUUCC